rnacentral:rRNA from 1 species
GACGAACGCUGGCGGCGUGCUUAACACAUGCAAGUCGAACGGAAAGGCCCUGCUUGCAGGGUACUCGAGUGGCGAACGGGUGAGUAACACGUGGGUGAUCUGCCCUGCACUUCGGGAUAAGCCUGGGAAACUGGGUCUAAUACCGGAUAGGAGCCAUUUUUAGUGUGAUGGUUGGAAAGUUUUUUCGGUGUAGGAUGAGCUCGCGGCCUAUCAGCUUGUUGGUGGGGUAAUGGCCUACCAAGGCGGCGACGGGUAGCCGGCCUGAGAGGGUGGACGGCCACAUUGGGACUGAGAUACGGCCCAGACUCCUACGGGAGGCAGCAGUGGGGAAUAUUGCACAAUGCGCGCAAGCCUGAUGCAGCGACGCCGCGUGGGGGAUGACGGCCUUCGGGUUGUAAACUCCUUUCGCUAGGGACGAAGCUUUUUGUGACGGUACCUAGAUAAGAAGCACCGGCUAACUACGUG